rnacentral:sRNA from 1 species
AUAUUUAUAAUAAUUAAACUAACGAAUGUUACUGUAAAUGAUAACCAAAACAUUAAACAAAUAGUAAUGAAAUUUAAAACGUGUUCACCUAACCUGCGAAUACUCGCAACUCCAUCGGAAAAUUCGCUACAAUAUAAGUUAUCGUCGCAAGUGCGUCGCAAUUUGCAGGGGGUCUCAGUUUCCUCGCAAUUGUCUUUCAAAUUUGCGAGGGAAAUAUUCGUCGCAAAGUUUGCGACGGAAUAGCGAGUUGGUCCUGUUCCCUCGAAGAGAUCUAUUCGCUAGCGAAGAAGAGGUUUGUCGGAGAGAUCUAUUCGUCGGCGAAGAAGAGGUUUGUCGGAUAGAUCUAUUCGUCGGCGAAUUUGAGGUUUGUCGCAGAGAACAAUUCGUCGGCGAAUUUGAGUUUUAUUGGAGAGAACAAUUCGUCGGCGAAAACAAAGAGGUUUGUCAAAAUGAAAGUGAAACCCUAAUUAUUCAGUAGGGGUAAGACCGUUAUUUUCCAUAUUCGAAGGGACAGUUUUAGAAAUGGCCAUCAGGAAAGGGCAUUGUUGCAAAAGGUUAUUACCAAAAUGGCAUUUUUGCAAAUCUCCCUUUUGAUUUUUAUAUCUAUGAUUUCACCUGUAGAAUAUCAUCCCGUAUUAAUAUCGAUCCAAAUCAUUCUGACCAUAUAACCCCGUCCUAUAAAAUUAAACAUUA